rnacentral:rRNA from 1 species
AAAGGGAUGCAAAGCCGCGAGGCAGAGCGAACCCCAAAAAGCCGUCCCAGUUCGGAUCGCAGGCUGCAACCCGCCUGCGUGAAGUCGGAAUCGCUAGUAAUCGCGGAUCAGCAUGCCGCGGUGAAUACGUUCCCGGGCCUUGUACACACCGCCCGUCACACCAUGAGAGUCGGGAACACCCGAAGUCCGUAGCCUAACCGCAAGGAGGGCGCGGCCGAAGGUGGGUUCGAUAAUUGGGGUGAAGUCGUAACAAGGUAAC